rnacentral:rRNA from 1 species
GACGAACGCUGGCGGCGUGCUGAACACAUGCAAGUCGAACGGAAAGGCCCUGCUUUUGUGGGGUGCUCGAGUGGCGAACGGGUGAGUAACACGUGAGUAACCUGCCCUUGACUUUGGGAUAACUUCAGGAAACUGGGGCUAAUACCGGAUAGGAGCUCCUGCUGCAUGGCGGGGGUUGGAAAGUUUCGGCGGUUCGGGUUGGACUCGCGGCUUAUCAGCUUGUUGGUGGGGUAGUCUCUUACCAAGGAAUUGACGGGUAGCCGGCAUGAGAGGGUCACCGGCCACUAUGGGACUGAGAUACGGCCCCGACUCCGAUGGGAGGCAGCACUGGAGAAGCUUGCACGAUGGGAAGAAGCCUGAUGCCGCAACGCAGCGGGCGGGAUGAUGGCCUUCGGUUUGUCAUCCUCUUUUGCCUGUGACGAGGCGUGAGUGACGGUAAUCGGUAAAGAAGCACCGCCUAACUACGUG